UCCGUAGGUGGAUAAUUAAGUCAGAGGUGAAAUCCUGCAGCUCAACUGUAGAAUUGCCUUUGAUACUGGUUAUCUUGAGUCAUUAUGAAGUGGUUAGAAUGUGUAGUGUAGCGGUGAAAUGCAUAGAUAUUACACAGAAUACCGAUUGCGAAGGCAGAUCACUAAUAAUGUACUGACACUGAUGGACGAAAGCGUGGGGAGCGAACAGGAAUAGAUACCCUGGUAGUCC
rnacentral:rRNA from 1 species